rnacentral:rRNA from 1 species
UACGUAGGGACCGAGCGUUGUCCGGAAUCAUUGGGCGUAAAGAGCGUGUAGGCGGCCUUUUAAGUCCUGCGUGAAAUCCUGCGGCUCAACCGCAGACGGUCGUGGGAAACUGGAAGGCUAGAGUGCGGGAGAGGAGAGUGGAAUUCCCGGUGUAGCGGUGAAAUGCGCAGAUAUCGGGAAGAACACCCGUGGCGAAGGCGGCUCUCUGGAACGCAACUGACGCUGAGACGCGAAAGCGUGGGGAGCAAUCCGG